UAGCUGUGGAGCAAAUUCUGGGCUACAGGAAUUAGCCAUGGAGCAAAUUCUGAGCUGCAGGAAUUAGCUGUGGAGCAAAUUCGGAGCUACAUCCUUUGUUGUGUGGUAGAACCAAACAGAAAGGAGGGAGAGGUGAGAUUAAUUAAGUCUGAAGAAUUGUUUAUUCUUCUGGCCUUUGAUUUCAGAGCUGAAUGUAGGUUAUCAGGUGUGGUACCUUAGAGGGAAGAUGUGGAUACAGCUGUGUGUAUUCCAGACCUCCAGCUGCAUUUGGGUUCCAUCCUGAGGAAUGAUGGGAGCACAUAAACCCCAUCCUGGCUUAUACAGCACAGGUGAGGAUCAACCUCCUUCUUUUCCCCUCUUGGGACAGAACCCAUCAAGGAAAGGACCUUGAGACAGAGCUGAGCUGGAUCCAAGGCUCUUUGGUGUCCUGAAGCAGCCACCUCUGGGUCUCGCAGCCAGCAGAAUAAUUACCAGCAGAAAAUGUGGAUUGUAAUUUCACCUAAUGGUUGUAUUCACCAAGCAUUCACCUGUAUUUGUCACUGGCAGAAAUUUCUCGGUGACCUUUCCAAUGAAUCUGUUUACAACAAAACUGUGUGUGUCUGGUGAGAGAUCUGUGUCUCUCAUGUGAGCUCUGCCUCUGGCAAAGAUCUGCCAGAUCUGCCAGGCAAAGAUGUGGAGAAACUGGGGGAAAAAGCAUUGCUGGCUUAUUUUAGCCAGGAAGGUAAGAAGACAAAUGGAAGAUGUGGAGGUUUGGACUUUUUCUGUCAAAGGGUGAUGAAUGCAGUCAACAGAGGGCAAGACAUUGGCUUUGCCAAUCAAUCAUUCUCUCCAUCAGAACCACUUGGUCUCAUCUGAGACAAACUUCUUUGGCUUAAAUUCCUUCCUCUGUCAAAUUAAAGAGAAAGAAAUAUAUUUUCUAGACCCCAGUGGGAGGGAGUUUGGAGAUUAAUGAUCCAUAAACAAUAUGUGUAUAUUCCUGUGCCAUUUGCCCAGCGGGACCAGGUGUGGGAGGGUUGGUGGAUGUUGUCUGCUCUCACUGCUGGACCUCUUUGAAGCUUUUCCACAGCUAUGCCAGAGAAUAGCAUCACAAUUCUUGUUAGAAGAUGAUGGACACAAAAAAGCCAGUGAAGAAAGCUGCAUCAAGGGAUACCAGUGUUUUGUAGUUUCUCCCCAUACAACUGUUUUUGUGAGCUUUUAAUUCCAGAUCAGUUUGGUUCUAAGUUUCAGGUUUAAAUGAAAUUAAAUAUAAACACAUCCAAAAC